rnacentral:misc_RNA from 1 species
CUUUCAUUCAAGCCACAUGGGGAGAGAGAGAGAGAGAGAGGCUAUUUGCACCAAGCAACAUAAAAAAAAAAUGUAGCAAUGAAACAAAAUUUAUACAUCANUGAGCACACUAAUCACUUCCCAAAUCAUGUUAAACUUCCCAAAAGUGAAAGAUUUUACCGCUAAAUAAGCAUUUAUCAACUGGCUACAAUAAUAUGAUUGCCUACAACAAUACCUACUCUAAACGACCCAAACCCAAAGUCAUCCCAUAUAAUUAUAGAAAGUAUUAUACAAGGAAAUGACCUUCAAGUCCGAUAUAUCUCUCUAAGAUCCCAACAGUCUCUUCUACCCCAUCUUUUGUCAUCUCAAGUUCUCUUUCUCCAGCCAUUUUUAUAACUGUAAGUAUAAGAUAUGCAGCAUUCCAUCAAAAACUGAUCCCAUCAUUCUCUCUCCAUUGCCUGCCCAUAGUGGUGGCCUCCCUCAUCUGUGUCAAGCAAAUGACCAAUAUUGGGCAUCAAGAAAGGAGAUAAACUUGGAUAAUUAGCUCAAAAGACUACAAGUCUCAAAUCCAUGAUUGCCUGUUAAUCUGUGAUCUCCAUUUAAGUCUAAGCACCUACAUUUCACCACUAUCAUAGAAGAUAGCUAUGAAAAAUUUGUUUGGUGAAAAUUG